UGGGCAAGCGUCAGGGGCUGCAGGAGCUGCAGCAGCAGCUCGAGGGCUGCCUCUGCACUCAGGCCAAGCUGCGGGCGCAGAGGGACCUGCUGGCCACCAAACUGGAGGAGCUGGGGGCCGGGGAGCCGCUGCCCGCACUGCUGCUGCAGGACGAGCCGCACCUGGGCUGCUCCGUGGUGAGUCCUGCCCUGCUGGCCCUGGAUGGGGCUCACUGGGCUUGGGUCACCACAGCCAUGCAGAGCUCACCGCUCGUGUCCUGCAGGAGCAGGAGCGCGGUGGGAGCACUGCACUGGAGACCCUCAAGAGCCACAUCUCGGGCAUCUUCAGCCCCAAGUACUCGCUGCCGCCCCCCGUGCCCCUGAUCCCAGAGCUGCAGAAGCCGCUGUGCCAGCAGGUCUGGUACCAUGGGGCCAUCCUGCGCUCCGAGGUGCAGGAGCUGCUGAGCCGCACUGGGGACUUCCUGGUGCGGGAGAGCCAGGGCAAGCAGGAGUCCGUGCUCAGCGUGCUGUGGGACGGGCAGGUCCGGCACUUCAUCAUCCAGGCUGUUGAUAACAUGUACCGGCUGGAGGGGGACGGGUUCCCCAGCAUCCCACUGCUCAUUGACCACCUCCUGCAGAGCCAGCAGCCUGUCACCCGCAAGAGCGGGGUCAUCCUGGCCAGGGCCAUCCCCAAGGUGACAGUGGGCAGUGGGC
rnacentral:lncRNA from 14 species